rnacentral:rRNA from 1 species
CAGUAGCCGCGGUAAUACAGAGGGUGCAAGCGUUAAUCGGAAUUACUGGGCGUAAAGCGCGCGUAGGUGGUUUGUUAAGUCUGCUGUGAAAUCCCCGGGCUCAACCUGGGAAUGGCAGUGGAUACUGGCAAGCUAGAGUGUGUCAGAGGAUGGUGGAAUUCCCGGUGUAGCGGUGAAAUGCGUAGAGAUCGGGAGGAACAUCAGUGGCGAAGGCGGCCAUCUGGGACAACACUGACGCUGAGGCACGAAAGCGUGGGGAGCAAACAGGAUUAGAUACCCGCGUAGUCCCUGUCUCUUAUAC